AAUGAACGCUGGCGGCGUGCUUUACACAUGCAAGUCGAGCGAGGCGCGGGGGCAACUCCGCAGUCGAGCGGCGAACGGGUGAGUAACGCGUGGAUAACCUGCCCUGAGGUGUGGAACAACCAGGGGAAACUCUGGCUAAUACCGCAUGAUACCGAGAGGUCAAAGGGGGCUCGCAAGGGCUCUCGCCGCAGGAGGGGUCCGCGUCCGAUUAGCUAGUUGGUAGGGUAAUGGCCUACCAAGGCGACGAUCGGUAGCCGGCCUGAGAGGGUGAUCGGCCACACUGGAACUGAGACACGGUCCAGACUCCUACGGGAGGCAGCAGUGGGGAAUUUUGCGCAAUGGGCUAACGCCUGACGCAGCAACGCCGCGUGGAGGAUGAAGGUCUUUGGAUUGUAAACUCCUGUC
rnacentral:rRNA from 1 species